rnacentral:misc_RNA from 1 species
AUCUCGUCACCGCCCCAUUCCUAAGUCCUGGACUCGGACCGGCGCGCGGUGGAUGUUGGCCUCCCGUUCCCCUAGCGGCGCGGAUGGCCUAAAUUCGAGUCCCCGGACAAGGGACGUCACGACUAAAGGUGGUUGAAUUCUCAUUCAUUCUCGCUCUAGCGUCCUGACGGCCCCCGGCGGAACUGAACAAGCCCAGAGCUCCCCAAAUUAGCUUCAAAGCUGGUCCAAGGGAGCCUUCGA